UGCCGGUGCCGGCGGGCAGCUAGGGCAGCUCCGCUCGGCUUGCUGGGGCCUGGCUGGGCCCCUCGGCCUGGCUGAGGGAGGCAGGGCCGCAGCGCUGCUCCCCACGCCCAGAGCCGCCCGGGACCCAGACUGGUGAACUUCUCUGCUCUCAAUCUCCAAGGUUGGUAGCCUCUGAAUUUGAUCGGCAAGCUCACCACUCAAACCUUCUGAAAUGAAAAGGCUGAACAGCAGGAUCAGAAAAGCACUUCAAAGAAAAGCAUUUUGCAUACAAAUGAAGAGGCUUCGUGGAAAAUGAAGACAGGGUCUACGUUACUGAGCCUUACAAUAUGCUACUUUCCUUGGUUUUAAAGAUGCUAAGGGAAUCCUUUCAAGGAAAAGGGAAACCUGGAGGCCCGUGGUAAAGGUCCAAAUCAGCAGCAGAUAUUUUUGGCGAUUAAGAACACUGCCAUUUGGUUUCCGUAGAGUCCAAACAUAUUCCACAGAAGACAUCUGAAUGGCUGGAUAGAACAAUGAAGGCACCACAUUGCUGACUGCGCCAGGAGCCAGUUCUUCCUGAUACAUCCGCCUUAGCAGGCUCUCUAGGGAUGGACCGGCACCAGAGACACAGCAUUGUCAAAGCUUCAGCACAACCUGCUGCACCAGAACAGCAGAUAUGAAGCCCCUGCCCUCAAGGAAAGCUGAGGGAUGAACCAUUUAAAAAAUAAAAUAAAAUAUUGCCACCCGCUCA